GAGUAUGGUCGCAAGGCUGAAACUUAAAGGAAUUGACGGAAGGGCACACAAAGAGUGGAACCUGCGGCUUAAUUUGACUCAACACGGGAAAACUCACCAGGUCCGGAUACACGUAUGAAAGUCAAGCUGAAAGACUUUACUCAAUGAUGUAAGUGGUGGUGCAUGGUCGUUCUUAGUUCGUGGAUUGAUUUGUCUGGUCUAUUCCGAUAACGAGCGAGACCCCAUCGUUCCUAAUAGGGGCGGCUAGCCCGCUGACCGAAAGGUUAGUAGCUUCCGCUUAAGAUUUGCUUCUUAGACGUAUCAGAGCCGAUAAGGUUCUUGAAAUGGGUUAAUAACAGGUCAGUCAUGCCCUUAGAUGUUCUGGGCCGCACGCGCGUUACAAUGGCAUGUAAAGCAAGUGCUUGAAAAGGCGUCUCCGGGGCCGAAAGGUCCUGGUAACCCUUAGUCCCUGCCUUGACUGGGACAGAUCUUUGCAAUUAUUGGUCUCCAACGAGGAAUUUUUAGUAGUCGUAGGUCAUUAACCUACGACGAAUGCGUCCCUGCCCUUUGUACACACCGCCCGUCGCUGCUACCGAUU
rnacentral:rRNA from 18 species